CCACCACCCUCCCCUCUACCUUUUUAUUGUACAUCAUUUGUAAGGCAGAUGAACACCCCAUAUCUUUACUUAUAUACCAGGUACUUUAUUAUUCAUUUUGCCAAAGGUCUAAAACUUUUACUAGUCUCAAUCUCAGGAUACUUUGUGAUAUUUUAAAGGUUUUAUGUAUGCAUAUUGUUCUUCGAGUUUUAUGUCAUUUAUUGUCAGGAUACUUUGUGAUAUUUUCAAGGUUUUAUGUAUGAAUAUUGUUCUUCGAGUUUAAUGUCAUUUAUUGGAGGAACUGCCUAUUUUCUACUUGUCACAUCACAUCACUUAUUCUUCAUUUCGUAUUAUAUUAUAUUGUGACUUUGACUAUUGCAUUAUGUUUCAUGCAACUUUUAUGCUAUGUAUUCUUCAAUAAAUGACCUGUUUUAUUCUU
rnacentral:sRNA from 1 species